UAUAUAUAUAUGUGUGUGUGUGUGUGUGUGUGUGUGUGGAGUCAUUACGAGCCCUGAAAGGACUCUUAAAGAUAGCCGAGCAACAUAUUUCCUUUACCAAAGCCAUUGAAUCAUUGCUCUGAUGAUCUCUGAGACAUUUAUCAUAAGACCUGGAUGUGGAGUCCUAAUGGGACUAAAUAAUUUAGUUAAAGAAAGUUUUCGUUGGUGGCUGUGAUGUUUCUAAUUAACCCAAUAACAUUAAAAACCAUGAAGUGAUGGAACUUAAUUUCGCAUAAUUUUCUUAUAGAUUAAAUAUUUAUCAUUAAUCAGGUUCCCUCUUUCGGGUUUCUAUUGAAGUGAUUAAGAAUGGGAAUAUGACAUUUUUCUUCUAAUUAAGCCUUUCUUCUAAUUAAGCCUUCAUUUGAGUUGGAUGCUGACACCAUUUGCUCUUUGCUCUCCAAUUGAUAAACAUAUAGAUAAGACAUUUCAUCUAAAAACUCAUAGAAAUGAAUAAUGCAUAUGAGGAUAAUAUAAUAAAUUUGGACAUGCUAUAAUGUAUAACAAUAAGACAUUAUGGCAACAAUUAUGUUGAAGGGUUGCUGACAUAGAAGGACCAAACUCUUGGGGCUAUGAGACUCUUAGUUUCCCCUC
rnacentral:lncRNA from 1 species